rnacentral:rRNA from 1 species
GACGUAGGGCGCGAGCGUUGUCCGGAUUUAUUGGGCGUAAAGAGCUCGUAGGCGGCUUGUCGCGUCGACUGUGAAAUCCCGCGGCUCAACCGCGGGUCUGCAGUCGAUACGGGCAGGCUAGAGUUCGGUAGGGGGAGACUGGAAUUCCUGGUGUAGCGGUGAAAUGCGCAGAUAUCAGGAGGAACACCGAUGGCGAAGGCAGGUCUCUGGGCCGAUACUGACACUGAGGAGCGAAAGCGUGGGGAGCAAACAGG